AGGCAGGCAGGCAGGCGGCGCGCCGGGUACCGCCCACUUCCCUCGCCUCCCUCCUCAGCCCCGCCGCCACCAAGCCGCCUCAGCCCCGCUUCCGCAUGGCUCGGGCCCGUCCCCGUCCCCAAUCUGCGAGGCCUUCCUGAGAGGAUUAGCGAGUAGCGAGGCACAGCGCAGAGUAGUGUAGCGAAGGCGCCCUCUUCCGCCACAGCAGCGCCCCCUGGAGACGCCCCGCCCCGCCCUCGUCCCCUCAGAGGGAAAAAAGGGCCCGCUCGCCCCAGGCCUUCUGUGCUUGGCCCUAGAGUCUCGCUUAUCCAACGUUCUGGGUUAUCCAACGCAGUCUGCCUCCCGCCCGGAUCCACACCUCUUUCCCUAGGCAGCAAGGACUGAAUGUUUUACGGAUUUAAUUUUCGACAAUGUUGUUACUUGGUUCAUACUCCAGCUCCUGUUCGAAAACAUGCCAGUGUAAGUAGAUCAAUAGGUACCGCUCCGGCGGGAAGGUAACGGCGCUCCAUGCAGUCAUGCCAGCCACAUGACCUUGGAGGUGUCUACAGACAAUGCCGGCUCUUCGGCUUAGAAAUGGAGAUGAGCACCAACCCCCAGAGUCAGACAUGACUGGACUUAAUGUCAGGGGAAACCUUUAUCUUACCUACUAUCAGGUAACAACACUUCAUGCAGUCAUGCCGGCCACAUGACCUUGGAGGUGUCUACGGACAGUGCCGUCUCUUCGGCAUAGAAAUGGAGAUGAGCAACAACCCUCAGAAUCGGUUACGGCUAGACUUAAUGUCAUGGGAAAUCUUUUACCAUUACAGUACUUUACUAUCUGGACUACGGUAUCAUAAAAUUUGCGGACUUGCUCAAAUGCUAGUAGAAAAUUAAAUCAGAUUAGUGUAUAUAGAGCCCAGUCUGGAUAAGUUAUACAUCAUUGGUGGUCAAAGCUUCUUGGGAGGGGAGAAAUGAAUUUUCAUUGUGCCAAGACUUUUCCAUAAUGUCAUCAUGAGAAGACAGGAAAGCUUAGAGAAGACAAUGAUGCUGUGGAAAAUAGAAGGAAAAAGGAAGAGCGGUUGACCAAGGGUAAGAUGGAUGGAUGGUAUCCUUGAGUUGACUGGCUUGAUCUUGAAGGAGCUGAGAGUGGCGACCGCUGACAAGGAGCUUUGGCGUGGGCUGGUCCAUGGGGUAACGAAGAGUAGGAAGCAACUGAACAAAUAAACAACAAACAACAUAACUAGUUGUUAUCUUCAACAGAGUAGAGACAAUAACAAUAAAAAAUAGUUCCUCUGCCACUCUGUCAGCUUAUGAUCUGUUGUAAAGUUUUCAGCUGAUGUUUGCAUUCAGGAAUUAUUCAAGUUGGAUCUUUCAUCAGAAAGGAAUGAUGCACAGUUGGAAUACAAUUUUGGAAAGUGAGAUCACCUGGAACAUGUCCAUGAACAGGUUUUCUUUUAUACUUGGAUCUCACAGUAGAUUAAAUUACUUUGAAAUAUACUUGUGCCAAGUUAACAUGAAAGCUUAAACUGGGAUCAUUCUUGAAUAUAAACACUGGAAAGGGUAUAAAAGGCUUGCUAAAUCAUAUAAAGUCUGAGUCUGCAAAGUACAGAGUUCUUAUUAAAGAUCUCCUUAAUUUACACAAAGGAUGAUAGACAGUCCUGCACAUCAGUAGACAGAAGGCCUACUUUGGUCAGAGAUUUGAUAUAACCUACUUUGUUCAUUAUCAGAAUGUGAAUAGGAAAUUCUAAAAACCCCAUCAGUGGUGUGUCAUUCAUUUAAGAAUGGCAUAAGAGCCCAAAAAAAACGCAAUUUAUUUGUUUGAAGGAAAGCAUAAGUAAAGUAAGAUGUUGCCGUUUCUUAUGUGGUUGGCUAUUAGAUUCGUGUGUCUGGCAUAAUAGGCCUAUAAUUAUAAAAGUAAACAAAUACUCAGUGCCAAAUAGGUGUGCAUGCUAAUGCCCAUUAUUUUUCACAUUCAGACCCUUCUGAAGUGCUAAUCGCUUUAUAGGAUGGAUCAGAGCCAAGACAGAACAUGUUGAAAUAGCAAUUAGUAGGUGUAAAUUAAGAUACCCUAAGCUCCUCCCCUCCCCCUUUCUCCAUCUCUUCCCCCAAAUACCACAAGGCACCUGCUCUAACAGGUUGUUGCUUUUCUGUUUUGUAUUCUAAUGGUUUUUUCCUAUCAAAGUCUUUAAUCUAAGUACAGUAUUUGCAUUUAGAAAUUUGAUAUGGAAACUGGAUCCCAAAAUAACAGGUGGAGAAUUCUUCACACAUACAGGCAAGUUUCCCUUUGUGAAGAACAUCUCACAUUUGUUGUCUCCUGACCUCCACAUCUUUCUUUGACUUUGUGAAACCCCGCCUGAUCAUAUUUUUCAAGUAUGGAAGACCAUAAAAGUAUUUACUAAAUGAUGGAGGAAAAUUUGAAAGGUGCUGUUUCUAGAUUCACUUUUAUUUUGUACAAAACUGAUAGCACAAUCUUUUGUAUGGUUUCUUUGGAAAUGUGAUAUAUUUGACUAUAUAUCACUCAAAAUAAAGAGUGGACAAUGUUCUGCCUUCCCAAUGUUGUCUGACUACAAUUCCCAUUAACAGAGCCAGUAUAACCACUGUCGAGAAAUGCUGGGAGUUGCAAUCCAGCAACAUCGUCCCUCUCCUAGAUAUUUAUGUCUAGGGUUGCAGACAUGCAGCAUACCCUAAUUCAAGGAUUAAACCACUGGUAUCCACCAUAACCUAUGACAACUUUACCAAUGAAAGUACCACUCCAUUUACAUUUGUGCCAGAUGAUUUCAUUUGUUAGAACCUGAGGUUUCUGGGUAGGAUAUUUAGACAAGUUCAGCAAUUGUGUACUUAAUCCUUGCUCUUCCUGGGUUAUCAAAUUUCAAAGGCAAGGUAGCCUGGUUGGAUCCUGGAGGCUAUAAAUGCCUCUAUGAGAGAGGCAGAUUUACUGCAGUGGAGGUUAAACAUUUCACAUCUCUUCAUUCUUCUGGUUCACCGGUCAGCCACCAGAUUCCUGGUUACUGUAAUAGAAUUCCCAUCAAGUUCCUAAGUGCAAGAUUUGAUAGCUGGGGAGGAAGAGUUGUAUUGAUCUGACAAUCUCCAACAUUUGAGUGUAUACACCUGGCAACAGGCAACAAUGAAACAGAUAGGGAUGCUGUAGGUGUACCAUUGACCCCACGACUCAACUGUCUCCCUGCCCAGCCUACUGAAGGUAGUGUUACCAGCAGCAUUUCCAUCUUGACUAAAGCCUCAGCCUGAAUCUAGUCAGCCAACAAAAGCUACUGGAUCUGUCCUGUACAGAUAUUGUAAGCCACUUUAGUUUAUCUUUGGGAGAAAUAUGGGAUGUAAAUAAAAUAAAUCAAAUUUAAAGAAUUAAACAGAACUUCCCACAAGCUUGAGAGCCCUCCCCCCAUUCAUCCCAACUGCCACUGCCCUGGCUUUGGACAGAGAGAAGAAGCGGCAAUAUCUGCUGGACUUAAUCCCUUCACCUACUGCAAUUCCCUUCUCCUUGUGUGUUGUUUCUCAUUUAAACUGUAAGCCUAAAGACAGAAUACUAUCACAUUACAAUUUGUAACCCACUCUGAAAACCUUUGUGGCUGAAGAGUGGGAUGUAAUUAUUCCAAAUAAAUAAAAUAAUAAACAUUG